CCACACAACCCGGGACGAUAGCUACCACCACCGCAAUGAUGCUUGCUGAAGAGCAACCGCGUGGACCGCCAUCCGGGGCCGCCACCCCGCCCACAUCACAAUGCACUCAACCACGGUAGGAAGAGCGACGACACUCCAUCUACUCCUAGCCCGGCAUCAGUCCUAGAGUCUAGGUAGGCGCCUAAACUGUAGGACGCAUCCACACCUGUGUCCCUAGCCAAUACCUGAUGGACUCGGGGGACACGAUUCCGACAAUGUCGACAGCCACCGGCGAGCCAGCCCCGAGCCCUUGGCCAGGCGAGCUCACGCAGCGCCAUUUCCAUGGGUCACCGGCGCCAAUCCGCACACCGAUGCAAUGCUAACAUGACCACCACAAACGAGCACCACCUGGACCAUGCCUACCUCACCUACUCGGAGCAAAGUCUUCAACCUGUCUCGAGCCCAAAGCUGGCCCACCCGAGCAUGAGCCCCAUGUCGUCGCCAUCCCCAUAAUGCGAGCAACCCAAGCGCCGCCAAUUUUGACCCGGAGAAGGCAUGGCACUACCACCACCUGCACCCCGCCACCGACAACAAACUGUUGCCAUCAACAGCACGGUUGCACCGGCGACCCAACCCACUACCUACGGCUACCAUCGGACCUUCACGUCACCAACAGAGCACCAAGCCACAACCAUUCAGCCACAAAUUCAUUCCUCGACAAGGACAGUGUAUGAUGAAGACCCGGCGCGGUGCAAGAUAGGACAUCCACGCACAGAGACAAGUCUCGGUGGCCAUUCCAACAUGGUCAGCCGCUGCCUGGCCGACGUCGCCGAAGGGGCAGCCGCCGCCACCCGCCAUAUCUGGCAAUUCUACAUACGGGCGAGCCAGGGUACCAAGCGCCUAGGCGAGGCACGUCAACAGCCGCAACCGCAAGACACCCUCCAACCAAGCCCACGCCGCCUCCCACCCUUUCGACCAUCGAUGAGGACUGCCCGCUUCUUGCACCCAAGCCUAUCCCACGCGACGAGGACACCAGCGUGUGCGCCGCCACUCACCCUGGAACCCCCACACAGCCUGCGUGAACGCACACGUCACCGCAAUCGCGCCCCACGCCAGCACCAUGUCCCCGACAAGCGAGCACAACCCGUGCUACCAAUCUCCAGCGAGGAGGAAGAGGGGCCUUGCCGCCCCGAUGCUGCCCUAGCUUUGCUUGGCGGCGGCGGAGACCCUCCGGUGACGGCGAGGGUGGAGUGGAGGGAGGCGGCAAAGCUAGGUUUCACCCAGCCGUCGUCCACGGGAGCGAUAGGGGUGAGAGGUACAGGAGUAGGAUCUGGAUGGCCUUUAGACUGAAACAAACACCUUCAGAUUAGCAUCACACCUGUACUUGUGGGCACUCAUUCAGGCAAGGGUAUCGCCAAACGAUUUUGAUUACCUUGGACACUUCUUCGGUACGGUGAACGCAAGAAACAGCGAGAGUUCUGUUUCUCCUUGGCACAAGGCUUCCUUUCUUCACUGAGAAUGAAAGGAAAGGAAGGAAGUCAAUGUAAAAAAAUAUUCAGUGGCAUAUAAGAAAGCAAUAAAAAUAAAGAUCAGAACA